rnacentral:lncRNA from 1 species
AAACUAAAGACCCUACGCGAGUUCAACCGCAUCUUAAGAAAUGUUUUGAGGGUAUUGCUACUUUGAAAUUUACCGAAGAAUUGGAAGUUACGAUAAUGCGUUCAUCCGAACGCGAGGAAGUGGAAUUGGUGGACGUCAUAUCGACGGCAAAGGCUCGCGGCCAAGUGGAGAAAUGGCUUUU